GGGUGACUAGAGUGUNUCAGAGGGAGGUAGAAUUCCACGUGUAGCAGUGAAAUGCGUAGAGAUGUGGAGGAAUACCGAUGGCGAAGGCANCCUCCUGGGAUAACACUGACGUUCAUGCCCGAAAGCGUGGGUAGCAAACAGGAUUAGAUACCCUGGUAGUCCACGCCCUAAACGAUGUCGAUUAGCUGUUGGGCAGCAUGACUGCUUAGUAGCGAAGCUAACGCGUGAAAUCGACCGCCUGGGGAGUACGGUCGCAAGACUAAAACUCAAAGGAAUUGACGGGGACCCGCACAAGCGGUGGAUGAUGUGGAUUAAUUCGAUGCAACGCGAAGAACCUUACCUGGUCUUGACAUGUACGGAACCCUUCAGAGACGGAGGGGUGCCUUCGGGAGCCGUAACACAGGUGCUGCAUGGCUGUCGUCAGCUCGUGUCGUGAGAUGUUGGGUUAUGUCCCGCAACGAGCGCAACCCUUGUCAUUAGUUGCCAUCAUUAAGUUGGGCACUCUAAUGAGACUGCCGGUGACAAGCCGGAGGAAGGUGGGGAUGACGUCAAGUCCUCAUGGCCCUUAUGACCAGGGCUUCACACGUCAUACAAUGGUCGGUACAGAGGGUAGCCAAGCCGCGAGGCGGAGCCAAUCUCACAAAACCGAUCGUAGUCCGGAUUGCACUCUGCAACUCGAGUGCAUGAAGUCGGAAUCGCUAGUAAUCGCAGGUCAGCAUACUGCGGUGAAUACGUUCCCGGGACUUGUACACACCGCCCGUCACACCAUGGGAGUGGGGGAUACCAGAA
rnacentral:rRNA from 1 species